rnacentral:RNase_MRP_RNA from 14 species
UUUUUAGAUGCUGCGAGGAAAGUCCCCGUGCCUUGGUGCAGAGAGUGCGUGUGGGAGACCGCAGGGUCCUUGCCGAACCUCCAGUGGUGAUGCUUCUCGCGGAGCCUUGGAGUCGGGGUCGGGCCCUUCGCAGCAGCACAGACAUGCCGUGAGCGCUC